rnacentral:rRNA from 1 species
GACGAACGCUGGCGGCGUGCUUAACACAUGCAAGUCGAACGCUGAAGCUUGGUGCUUGCACUGGGUGGAUGAGUGGCGAACGGGUGAGUAAUACGUGAGUAACCUGCCCUUGACUCUGGGAUAAGCCUGGGAAACUGGGUCUAAUACUGGAUACGAUAUGUCACCGCAUGGUGGUGUGUGGAAAGGGUUUUACUGGUUUUGGAUGGGCUCGCGGCUUAUCAGCUUGUUGGUGGGGUAAUGGCUGACCAAGGCGACGACGGGUAGCCGGCCUGAGAGGGUGACCGGCCACACUGGGACUGAGACACGGCCCAGACUCCUACGGGAGGCAGCAGUGGGAAAUACUGCACAAGGGGCGGAAGCCUGAUGCAGCGACGCCGCGUGAGGGAUGACGGCCUUCGGGUUGUAAACCUCUUUCAGCACGGAAGAAGCGAAAGUGACGGUACGUGCAGAAGAAGCGCCGGCUAACUACGUG